rnacentral:rRNA from 1 species
GAUGAACGCUGGCGGCGUGCCUAAUACAUGCAAGUCGAGCGAAUGGAUUAAGAGCUUGCUCUUAUGAAGUUAGCGGCGGACGGGUGAGUAACACGUGGGUAACCUGCCCAUAAGACUGGGAUAACUCCGGGAAACCGGGGCUAAUACCGGAUAACAUUUUGAACCGCAUGGUUCGAAAUUGAAAGGCGGCUUCGGCUGUCACUUAUGGAUGGACCCGCGUCGCAUUAGCUAGUUGGUGAGGUAACGGCUCACCAAGGCAACGAUGCGUAGCCGACCUGCGAGGGUGAUCGGCCACCCUGGGACUGAGACACGGCCAAGACUCCUACGGGAGGCAGCAGUAGGGAAUCUUCCGCAAUGGACGAAAGUCUGACGGGGCAACGCCGCGUGAGUGAUGAAGGCUUUCGGGUCGUAAAACUCUGUUGUUAGGGAAGAACAAGUGCUAGUUGAAUAAGCUGGCACCUUGACGGUACCUAACCAGAAAGCCACGGCUAACUACGUGCCAGCCGCCGCGGUAA